AUGUGCGACAUGGUGAUGGAACUUGAGGCUUGGGGCGUGCGACGGGAGGUUUGGUCAUUUAUUCUACAGGGUGGCUCAGUUGUGGGUGUGAUGGUGCUUGAAGGGGCGGUUCGUGAGACGGGUUCGACUUCGGCAAGGGGAUUUUACUUUGAUUUCCAAAAGGCAUGUGAAGCGUUAAGAAAUUGAAGAUAAGAUUUUACACAUAGAUACCGAAGAUUGAAAGAAUAUUCUCACUUUUAUUCCACUGGUGCCAACUUGUGUGGAAAAAAAACCUGAUUAUUUAUUUAUAGAAAGAGGAAAUGGUGGUGGCAAGUCACGAGGCUCUGCACUCAGUUAGGUAGCCUGCAAGUCACGAGGACUGAGGUGAUGGUGUGCUCUUCAAUGAACUCAUUUUUUAUUUUAUUUUGUAAUUAUAAUUGAAAGUGGCUAAUAAAGAUAUACAUAUAAAAAAAUUAGGUGGCCUGAUUAUACAAUCUAUAUAUAUAGUCGAUAUCCUCGUUUAUCAUUUUCCCUAGCUGCACAUUUUGUUAUAUUAUCCCUAAAUAAAUAAAAACAAAAGAACAAAAAAAAUAUAGAGAACAAAUCAGCCUUCAAGCUUGUCAUAUAUAUAUAUAUAUAUGUAGUUUGGUAUUCAUAUAUAAUAUCUUAAUCAAUUAUAUAUAAGAAUUAGUUAUGUGUGUUAUUAUAUUGUAAUUGAAAAAUGAACGAUAACCCUCAAAGUCGCAAUCACUUUGGUAAAGCUUUCUUAUUUAUUCAUUUCUUGAGCAGCGCAAAGAAGAGUUGAAGAAAACUUGAUUUGAGAUAUGGUAGGGCACUUAUUGGACAUGUGAUUGAAAUCUGGAAUAUUAUUUAUAUUUAUGAUCACUCUAGCUACAACAUAUAUAAUAUAUAGAUAGUUGGUGGUGACUCUUCUACAUGCACAUAAAUAUUAUAAAGAUUGUAGGUACAAAUAUAUGUAUAUAUAUAUAUUUAUUUUAGUUUUUUGUCAAAAUGUAAUCCAUCUUUGCAUUUUGAAAAUAGCAUAAACUAAGUUAUGAUGU